AGUGAACGCUGGCGGUAGGCCUAACACAUGCAAGUCGAACGGCAGCACAGUAAGAGCUUGCUCUUACGGGUGGCGAGUGGCGGACGGGUGAGGAAUACAUCGGAAUCUACUUUUUCGUGGGGGAUAACGUAGGGAAACUUACGCUAAUACCGCAUACGACCUACGGGUGAAAGCAGGGGAUCUUCGGACCUUGCGCGAUUGAAUGAGCCGAUGUCGGAUUAGCUAGUUGGCGGGGUAAAGGCCCACCAAGGCGACGAUCCGUAGCUGGUCUGAGAGGAUGAUCAGCCGCACUGGAACUGAGACACGGUCCAGACUCCUACGGGAGGCAGCAGUGGGGAAUAUUGGACAAUGGGCGCAAGCCUGAUCCAGCCAUACCGCGUGGGUGAAGAAGGCCUUCGGGUUGUAAAGCCCUUUUGUUGGGAAAGAAAGGCAGCAGGUUAAUACCCCGCUGUUCUGACGGUACCCAAAGAAUAAGCACCGGCUAACUUCGUG
rnacentral:rRNA from 1 species